UGGGGAAUAUUGGACAAUGGGCGCAAGCCUGAUCCAGCCAUGCCGCGUGAGUGAUGAAGGCCCUAGGGUUGUAAAGCUCUUUCACCGGUGAAGAUAAUGACGGUAACCGGAGAAGAAGCCCCGGCUAACUUCGUGCCAGCAGCCGCGGUAAUACGAAGGGGGCUAGCGUUGUUCGGAUUUACUGGGCGUAAAGCGCACGUAGGCGGACUAUUAAGUCAGGGGUGAAAUCCCGGGGCUCAACCCCGGAACUGCCUUUGAUACUGGUAGUCUUGAGUUCGAGAGAGGUGCGUGGAAUUCCGAGUGUAGAGGUGAAAUUCGUAGAUAUUCGGAGGAACACCAGUGGCGAAGGCGGCUCACUGGCUCGAUACUGACGCUGAGGUGCGAAAGCGUGGGGAGCAAACAGG
rnacentral:rRNA from 1 species